CAGCAGCCACGGUAAUACGGAGGGGGCUAGCGUUGUUCGGAAUUACUGGGCGUAAAGCGCACGUAGGCUGCUUUGUAAGUCAGAGGUGAAAGCCCGGGGCUCAACCCCGGAUGUGCCUUUGAGACUGCAGGGCUAGAACGUCGGAGAGGUGAGUGGAAUUCCGAGUGUAGAGGUGAAAUUCGUAGAUAUUCGGAAGAACACCAGUGGCGAAGGCGGCUCACUGGACGACUGUUGACGCUGAGGUGCGAAAGCGUGGGGAGCAAACAGGAUUAGAUACCCCGGUAGUCCCUGUCUCUUAUAA
rnacentral:rRNA from 1 species